GUGCUUUGGCAGCACAUUUACUAAAACUGGAAUGAUACAGAGAAGAUUAGCGUGGUCCCUGUAUAAGGAUGACAUGCAAAUUCAUGAAGUGCUCCAUAUUUAA
ensembl:snRNA U6 U6 spliceosomal RNA